UACGAAGGGGGCUAGCGUUGCUCGGAAUCACUGGGCGUAAAGGGUGCGUAGGCGGGUCUUUUAAGUCAGGGGUGAAAUCCUGGAGCUCAACUCCAGAACUGCCUUUGAUACUGAAGAUCUUGAGUUCGGGAGAGGUGAGUGGAACUGCGAGUGUAGAGGUGAAAUUCGUAGAUAUUCGCAAGAACACCAGUGGCGAAGGCGGACUCACUGGCCCGAUACUGACGC
rnacentral:rRNA from 1 species